rnacentral:rRNA from 1 species
GCUUGUCUCAAAGAUUAAGCCAUGCAUGUCUAAGUAUAACUCUUUUACUUUGAAAACUGCGAACGGCUCAUUAUAUCAGUUAUAGUUUCUUUGAUAGUCCCUUACUACUUGGAUACCCGUAGUAAUUCUAGAGCUAAUACAUGCAUCAAGCCCCGACUGUUUGGAAGGGGUGUAUAUAUUAGAUUGAAACCAAUGCGGGGCAACCCGGAGUGUGGUGAUUCAUAAUAUCUUUCGGAUCGAUUUAUCGAUGCAUCAUUCAAGUUUCUGCCCUAUCAGCUUUGGAUGGUAGGGUAUUGGCCUACCAUGGCUUUAACGGGUAACGGAGAAUUAGGGUUCGAUUCCGGAGAGGGAGCCUGAGAAAUGGCUACCACAUCCAAGGAAGGCAGCAGG